CUUUCAUGGAGAGUUUGAUCCUGGCUCAGGACGAACGCUGGCGGCGUGCCUAAUACAUGCAAGUCGAGCGAAUCUU
rnacentral:rRNA from 1 species